rnacentral:rRNA from 6 species
ACUUAAAUUGAAGAGUUUGAUCAUGGCUCAGAUUGAACGCUGGCGGCAGGCCUAACACAUGCAAGUCGAGCGGUAGCACAGAGAGCUUGCUCUCGGGUGACGAGCGGCGGACGGGUGAGUAAUGUCUGGGAAACUGCCUGAUGGAGGGGGAUAACUACUGGAAACGGUAGCUAAUACCGCAUAACGUCGCAAGACCAAAGUGGGGGACCUUCGGGCCUCAUGCCAUCAGAUGUGCCCAGAUGGGAUUAGCUAGUAGGUGGGGUAACGGCUCACCUAGGCGACGAUCCCUAGCUGGUCUGAGAGGAUGACCAGCCACACUGGAACUGAGACACGGUCCAGACUCCUACGGGAGGCAGCAGUGGGGAAUAUUGCACAAUGGGCGCAAGCCUGAUGCAGCCAUGCCGCGUGUGUGAAGAAGGCCUUCGGGUUGUAAAGCACUUUCAGCGGGGAGGAAGGCGUUAAGGUUAAUAACCUUGGCGAUUGACGUUACCCGCAGAAGAAGCACCGGCUAACUCCGUGCCAGCAGCCGCGGUAAUACGGAGGGUGCAAGCGUUAAUCGGAAUUACUGGGCGUAAAGCGCACGCAGGCGGUCUGUCAAGUCGGAUGUGAAAUCCCCGGGCUCAACCUGGGAACUGCAUUCGAAACUGGCAGGCUAGAGUCUUGUAGAGGGGGGUAGAAUUCCAGGUGUAGCGGUGAAAUGCGUAGAGAUCUGGAGGAAUACCGGUGGCGAAGGCGGCCCCCUGGACAAAGACUGACGCUCAGGUGCGAAAGCGUGGGGAGCAAACAGGAUUAGAUACCCUGGUAGUCCACGCCGUAAACGAUGUCGAUUUGGAGGUUGUGCCCUUGAGGCGUGGCUUCCGGAGCUAACGCGUUAAAUCGACCGCCUGGGGAGUACGGCCGCAAGGUUAAAACUCAAAUGAAUUGACGGGGGCCCGCACAAGCGGUGGAGCAUGUGGUUUAAUUCGAUGCAACGCGAAGAACCUUACCUGGUCUUGACAUCCACAGAACUUUCCAGAGAUGGAUUGGUGCCUUCGGGAACUGUGAGACAGGUGCUGCAUGGCUGUCGUCAGCUCGUGUUGUGAAAUGUUGGGUUAAGUCCCGCAACGAGCGCAACCCUUAUCCUUUGUUGCCAGCGGUUCGGCCGGGAACUCAAAGGAGACUGCCAGUGAUAAACUGGAGGAAGGUGGGGAUGACGUCAAGUCAUCAUGGCCCUUACGACCAGGGCUACACACGUGCUACAAUGGCAUAUACAAAGAGAAGCGACCUCGCGAGAGCAAGCGGACCUCAUAAAGUAUGUCGUAGUCCGGAUUGGAGUCUGCAACUCGACUCCAUGAAGUCGGAAUCGCUAGUAAUCGUAGAUCAGAAUGCUACGGUGAAUACGUUCCCGGGCCUUGUACACACCGCCCGUCACACCAUGGGAGUGGGUUGCAAAAGAAGUAGGUAGCUUAACCUUCGGGAGGGCGCUUACCACUUUGUGAUUCAUGACUGGGGUGAAGUCGUAACAAGGUAACCGUAGGGGAACCUGCGGUUGGAUCACCUCCUUACCUUAAAGAA